rnacentral:lncRNA from 1 species
GAUCACUAUAUGGCAGGGUCUUAGCUGGUACUGUGUAGAUCACUAUAUGGCAGGGUCUUAGCUGGUACUGUGUAGAUCACUAUAUGGCAGGGUCUUAGCUGGUACUGUGUAGAUCACUAUAUGGCAGGGUCUUAGCUGGGUACCGUGUAGAUCACUAUAUGGCAGGGUCUUAGCUGGUACUGUGUAGAUCACUAUAUGGCAGGGUCUUAGCUGGUACUGUGUGUAAAUCACUAUAUGGCAGGGUCUUAGCUGGUACUGAUGAUUGUCCUGCAUGCAGUUUGUGUGGACAAUGACUUGCCUAAUGUGUGCUAAUGGUGGUCUCUCUGAGGGGUACUGGUCUUUACUGUCUGAGGGGGUACUGGUCUUUACUAUCUGAGGGGUACUGGUCUUUACUGUCUGAGGGGUACUGGUCUUUACUGUUUGAGGGGUACUGGUCUUUACUGUCUGAGGGGAACUGGUCUUUGCUGUCUGAGGGGUACUGGUCUUUACUGUCUGGUCUGUCUGAGGGGUACUGGUCUUUACUGUCUGAGGGGAACUGGUCUUUACUGUCUGAGGGGUACUGGUCUUUACUGUCUGAGGGGUACUGGUCUUUACUGUCUGGUCUGUCUGAGGGGUACUGGUCUUUACUGUCUGAGGGGAACUGGUCUUUACUGUCUGGUCUGUCUGAAGGGUUUCAGGGCCAAUAGCCUGUAGACUCAUUAUGGUACGAAGUGUGCUUAAGCAGGAAGAGAUGUGAGGACGUAACUAUAUACAUUUUGACAAUCCCACUAUUUCAAUCACAACGUGGAAUGCCUAAAGGAGUGUGUAUGGGUGUGUGUAGGAGUAUGUUUGUGCAAAAAAGGCUUGCUAAAUUAUUUGAUUGGGAUUAAAUGGUAUUGUCCAGUCUGUCUGUCAAGACUGACAGUGAAUACCAACAGGAGGGAUUGUAUAGUUCUGAUGGUAUUGACCAGUCUGUAUUGACUCUGUGACAGUGGU